GAUGAACGCUAGCUACAGGCUUAACACAUGCGAGUCGCGGGGCAGCAUGGGGGUUGCUUGCAAUCCCCGAUGGCGACCGGCGCACGGGUGAGUAACGCGUAUCCAACCCGCCCUUCACCACGGGAUUACCCGGCCAACUUCGGACUAAUACCGUCUGUUGUCCAUCGACGGCAUCCGAUUUUGCCGACAGUUUUGGCCGUGUAUGCUGGGGAUGCGUCCGAUUAGCUGGACGGCGGGGUGACGGCCCACCGUGGCGACGUUCGGGAGGGGUUCUGAGAGGAAGGUCCACAACACUGGAACUGAGACACGGUCCAGACUCCUACGGGAGGCAACAGUGAGGAGUACUGGUGGAUGGGCGUAAGCCUGAACCAGCCAAGUAGAGUGCAGGAUGACGGGCCUAUGGGAUGUAAACUGCUUUUAAGCGGGGAUAAAGUGGCCCACGUGUGGGUUUUUGCAGGUACCGCAUGAAUAAGGACCGGCUAAGUCCGUG
rnacentral:rRNA from 1 species